UGCAGUCGAACGAUGAUGCCCAGCUUGCUGGGUGGAUUAGUGGCGAACGGGUGAGUAACACGUGAGUAACCUGCCCCUGACUCUGGGAUAAGCGUUGGAAACGACGUCUAAUACUGGAUAUGAUCACUGGCCGCAUGGUCUGGUGGUGGAAAGAUUUUUUGGUUGGGGAUGGACUCGCGGCCUAUCAGCUUGUUGGUGAGGUAAUGGCUCACCAAGGCGACGACGGGUAGCCGGCCUGAGAGGGUGACCGGCCACACUGGGACUGAGACACGGCCCAGACUCCUACGGGAGGCAGCAGUGGGGAAUAUUGCACAAUGGGCGAAAGCCUGAUGCAGCAACGCCGCGUGAGGGAUGACGGCCUUCGGGUUGUAAACCUCUUUUAGUAGGGAAGAAGCGAAAGUGACGGUACCUGCAGAAAAAGCACCGGCUAACUACGUGCCAGCAGCCGCGGUAAUACGUAGGGUGCAAGCGUUGUCCGGAAUUAUUGGGCGUAAAGAGCUCGUAGGCGGUUUGUCGCGUCUGCUGUGAAAUCCCGAGGCUCAACCUCGGGCUUGCAGUGGGUACGGGCAGACUAGAGUGCGGUAGGGGAGAUUGGAAUUCCUGGUGUAGCGGUGGAAUGCGCAGAUAUCAGGAGGAACACCGAUGGCGAAGGCAGAUCUCUGGGCCGUAACUGACGCUGAGGAGCGAAAGCAUGGGGAGCGAACAGGAUUAGAUACCCUGGUAGUCCAUGCCGUAAACGUUGGGCGCUAGAUGUAGGGACCUUUCCACGGUUUCUGUGUCGUAGCUAACGCAUUAAGCGCCCCGCCUGGGGAGUACGGCCGCAAGGCUAAAACUCAAAGGAAUUGACGGGGGCCCGCACAAGCGGCGGAGCAUGCGGAUUAAUUCGAUGCAACGCGAAGAACCUUACCAAGGCUUGACAUACACCGGAAACGGCCAGAGAUGGUCGCCCCCUUGUGGUCGGUGUACAGGUGGUGCAUGGUUGUCGUCAGCUCGUGUCGUGAGAUGUUGGGUUAAGUCCCGCAACGAGCGCAACCCUCGUUCUAUGUUGCCAGCGGGUUAUGCCGGGGACUCAUAGGAGACUGCCGGGGUCAACUCGGAGGAAGGUGGGGAUGACGUCAAAUCAUCAUGCCCCUUAUGUCUUGGGCUUCACGCAUGCUACAAUGGCCGGUACAAAGGGCUGCGAUACCGUAAGGUGGAGCGAAUCCCAAAAAGCCGGUCUCAGUUCGGAUUGAGGUCUGCAACUCGACCUCAUGAAGUCGGAGUCGCUAGUAAUCGCAGAUCAGCAACGCUGCGGUGAAUACGUUCCCGGGCCUUGUACACACCGCCCGUCAAGUCAUGAAAGUCGGUAACACCCGAAGCCGGUGGCCUAA
rnacentral:rRNA from 1 species